GCCCUGUGGUUCCCUGCGACGGCUGACCAGUGCCGAUCUGUGGGGUUGUUAUUGACGGGCGCACAGUGAACUCUGCGAUUUAAUGCAUGGUGUCUGCCUUCCCCCGUGCAGCCCCCAUAGCCCGGUUUCAGAGACAUUU